CGGAUCCGUAUUAUUUAUUUGGGCGGGGGGGCGGGGGGGGGGGGGGGGGAAAGAGGGAGGGAAGGGGGAGAAGAGCGGAGGGAAGGAGGUGGCGAGCUGGGGACGGAAUCCUGCUCUGGGUUAUGGCCGGCGUAAAUUUCCAUUGGCUGGGGGGGCACAAGGUGCCGGGAGAGAGGAGCGGGUGCGGGACGGAGCCCCUUUGUGUGUGCGUGUGCUGCGCUGCGUGUGCGCGGGGCUCGCACGCUCCUCUCCCGGGCCAGCCGCUUUUUCUCCGGCUUUUCCUUUGAAGCCCCGGCCGGCUGCUGGCAGGGGAGGGCGGCCGGGGCUCUGCGGCGCUGCUGCCCGCGCCCUUCCUCCCUCCUCCUCCUCCUCCUCCUCCUCCUCCUCCUCCUCCACCUCCUCCACCUCCUCCUCCACCUCCUCCUCCUCCUCCUCCUCCUCCCCGCUGACAGUCUGGGGCUCGCUCCGGCACCGGGCUGGCCCCGGCUCCCGCAGCCCCCCAGCAGCCCGGUCUCUUCAUCAUAAUAAUAAUAACAACAGCGGCGGCGGCGGCGGCAUUGCCGGGGAGCGCGGAGGGCGGCGGGCGAGAGGAGCUGCGGAGGAAUUCUGCUCCUUUUUCCUUUCCUUUCCCCCCCCCCCCCCAUACCCCCCCACCCCCCCCCAAACCAACCAACCAACCCCCCCCACCACCUCUUUUUAUUAUUAUUAUUAUUUUUAUUUAUUUAUUUAUUCCCUCCCUUUCCCCUCUAUUCCCGUAUAUUUUUUUUUAACAAAAAAAAUAAGAAAAAAAGACUGUUUUAAGGACGCCCGGCUGCGCACACCCCGCACGCUCGGGUGUCAAAGCCCGCCGGGCGCGCAGCCCGCUGCGGGCACUGCCCGGCCCUUCCCAGCAGCGCCGACCGGAGCCUCCCCCGCUUCCGAACGAAUUCCAGGCGCAGGUUCAGGGGGAUUCUCGGUGGAGCUGCAGAAAUGUCAGCGCUGUUCCAACCCAGACGGAAUCGUUUCUGUUCCUCCUGCUAGAACUCAGCCCAGAACGAUUCCUGCAGCGGUUUUUACCUUCUGCAGACAAAAGGAGGGAUGUGCCACUUGAGGGUUAUUUUUUGGCUUAUUCCCGUGGCUCCAAGGCUUUCUUCUUUUAGCGUUACAGAGUUUUUCUAGCGACAAUUUCAUCAGUUUCCAUGAUUUUGUGUUUUCAUUAGGGGAAAAAAAAAAAAAAACAACCCAAAUCUAUGGAUCAAAAGAUGGUUUUGUCUCUUACAAGGAAAAUGGAAGAGAAAAUAAAUAUUAGGCAUGAAUCUAAUCA
rnacentral:lncRNA from 1 species